rnacentral:rRNA from 1 species
UACGUAGGGUGCGAGCGUUGUCCGGAAUUACUGGGCGUAAAGAGCUCGUAGGUGGUUUGUCGCGUUGUUCGUGAAAUCUCACGGCUUAACUGUGAGCGUGCGGGCGAUACGGGCAGACUGGAGUACUGCAGGGGAGACUGGAGUUCCUGGUGUAGCGGUGAAAUGCGCAGAUAUCUGGAGGAACACCGGUGGCGAAGGCGGCAUCCUGGACCGAUACUGACGCUGAGGAGCGAAAGCCAGGGGAGCAAACGGG